UGCCAGUUCACAUCAAGCCUGAUCUACAAUGUAAGGAACACCAGCAGGCCUUGAAGCCCGGCUCCCGAUAAACUCCUCAGAGGAGCUCAGUGGACGUGUGUCGCUGCAAAGCUAAUGAGCUCCAGAGCUACACAAGCUUUCUUUGUUGUAUUGUGAAAGCUGCUGCUGUUGGCCGGGUCCCUCUUGGCUGGUUUGGUCCUUCAUUGCAGGCCUCCUGCUCUCGCACAACAGCUCUCUGUGUGUCUGAAACCAUAGAUCUGCUGGAGUCAACACGGAGACUGUAGUGGCCACGGGAGAGCAUAUUCCUGUUGUGUUCUCAGAUUUCAGCUUGAUGUUAGGAGGUUUUGUUUGCUGUGAUCGUCCUGAAGCCGCACAGAGGAACAGUGUGGACAGCUGGACCAGCAGCUUCAUCACAGCCUCAAACCGCUUCUCAUUUCCUGACCAGUCUCCAGUGAACCAUCACUGAUAUUAAUCAACCACUCAAUGAUCACAGUCAUCUUAUUCAGUGU
rnacentral:lncRNA from 1 species